UACGUAGGGUGCGAGCGUUAAUCGGAAUUACUGGGCGUAAAGUGUGCGCAGGCGGCCGAGCAAGUCGAGUGUGAAAGCCCCGGGCUUAACUUGGGAAUUGCGCUCGAAACUACUUGGCUGGAGUGUGGCAGAGGAAGGUGGAAUUCCAGGUGUAGCGGUGAAAUGCGUAGAGAUCUGGAGGAACACCGAUGGCGAAGGCAGCCUUCUGGGCCGAUACUGACGCUGAGGAGCGAAAGCGUGGGGAGCGAACAGG
rnacentral:rRNA from 1 species